CAAUAGCGUAUAUUAAAGUUGUUGCGGUUAAAAAGCUCGUAGUUGGAUUUCUGCUGAGGACGACCGGUCCGCCCUCUGGGUGUGUAUCUGGCUCUUUCUUGGCAUCUUCUUGGUGAACGUUGCUGCACUUGACUGUGUGGAGCGCUACCCAGGACUUUUACUUUGAGGAAAUUAGAGUGUUUCAAGCAGGCAUACGCCUUGAAUACAUUAGCAUGGAAUAAUAAGAUAGGACCUCGGUUCUAUUUUGUUGGUUUCUAGAGCUGAGGUAAUGAUUAAUAGGGAUAGUUGGGGGCAUUCGUAUUUAACUGUCAGAGGUGAAAUUCUUGGAUUUGCUAAAGACGGACUACUGCGAAAGCAUUUGCCAAGGAUGUUUUCAUUGA
rnacentral:rRNA from 1 species